GACGAACGCUGGCGGCGUGCUUAACACAUGCAAGUCGAACGGAAAGGCCCUGCUAUUUUGGGUUGCACGAGUGGCACACGGGUGUGUAACACGUGAGUAACCUGCCCUUGCCUCUGGGAUAACUACAAGCCAGUGGGGCCAAUACCGGUUCGGAACUCACGCUUCAUGGCGGCGGUAGGAAAGUUUAGGCGGUUGGGGAUGGACUAGCGGCAUAGCAGCUUGUUGGUGGGUGAGUGGCUUACCAAGGAGUUGACGGGUAGCCGGCCUGAGAGGGUGACCGGCCACAGUGCGACUUAGAAACGGCCCAGGCUGCGACGGGUGUCAGCAAUGGGAGAUAUUGCACAAUGAGCGGAGUCGUGUGGCAGCAACGCCGCGUGCGGGAUGACGGCCUUUGGGGUGUAAACCUCUUUCGCCUGUGACGAAGCGUGAUUGACGGUAACGGGUAAAGAAGCACCGGCUAACUACGUG
rnacentral:rRNA from 1 species